UGGGAGGGGGCUUGCCCCCGAUGGCUGAGUGUCAGUCAGUACAUUUGAUACUGAUGAACCGCCAUCGGGGGCAAGCCCCUCCCAC
rnacentral:misc_RNA from 1 species